UACGUGGGGACCGAGCGUUGUCCGGAAUCAUUGGGCGUAAAGAGCGUGUAGGCGGCCUUUUAAGUCCUGCGUGAAAUCCUGCGGCUCAACCGCAGACGGUCGUGGGAAACUGGAAGGCUAGAGUGCGGGAGAGGAGAGUGGAAUUCCCGGUGUAGCGGUGAAAUGCGCAGAUAUCGGGGAGAACACCCGUGGCGAAGGCGGCUCUCUGGAACGCAACUGACGCUGAGACGCGAAAGCGUGGGGAGCAAACGGG
rnacentral:rRNA from 1 species